rnacentral:misc_RNA from 1 species
UCUCCGUUGGUGAACCAGCGGAGGGAUCAUUAAAGAGUGUAAAAACUCCCAAACCCAUGUGAACCUACCACUGUUGCCUCGGUGGGCGGCCCCUGCGGACGCCUGCCGACGGACAAACAAAACUCUUUUAAUUCAGUAUCUCUGAGUACAACUUUUAAAUAAGUAAAAACUUUCAACAACGGAUCUCUUGGUUCUGGCAUCGAUGAAGAACGCAGC